GACAGAGGCCUCAAGCGUUAGGCGGAAUCACUGGGCUUAAAGCGUGUGUAGGCGGAUCGUUAAGUACCUUGUGAAAUCCCACGGCUCACCCGUGGAACUGCUGGGUAUACUGGCGGUCUUGGGCCAACUAGGGGCAGCUGGAACAAGCGGUGGAGCGGUGAAAUGCGUAGAUAUCGCUUGGAACGCCAACGGUGAAAACAGCUCGCUGGGGGUGUGCUG
rnacentral:rRNA from 1 species